GCAUCUUCCCGUGUCUGAGGAGGUAGCACCUGGCACAGGUAUGAGGAUCUGGGUCUUCCAGUGUCUGAGGAGGUAGCACCUGGCACAGGUAUGAGGAUCUGGGUCUUCCCGUGUCUGAAGAGAUAGCACCUGGCACAGGUAUGAGGAUCUGGGUCUUCCCGUGUCUGAGGAGGUAGCACCUGGCACAGGUAUGAGGAUCUGGGUCUUCCCAUGUCUGAGGAGGUAGCACCUGGCACAGGUAUGAGGAUCUGGGUCUUCCAGUGUUUGAGGAGGUAGCACCUGGCACAGGUAUGAGUAUCUGGGUCUUCCCAUGUCUGAGGAGGUAGCACCUGGCACAGGUAUGAGGAUCUGGGUCUUCCAGUGUCUGAGGAGGUAGCAGCUGGCACAGGUAUGAGGAUCUGGGUCUUCCCGUGUCUGAAGAGGUAGCACCUGGCACAGGUAUGAGGAUCUGGGUCUUCCAGUGUCUGAGGAGGUAGCACCUGGCACAGGUAUGAAGAUCUGGGUCUUCCCGUGUCUGAAGAGGUAAGACCUGGCACAGGUAUGAGGAUCUGGGUCUUCCCGUGUCUGAGGAGGUAGCACCUGGCACAGGUAUGAGGAUCUGGGUCUUCCCGUGUCUGAGGAGGUAGCACCUGGCACAGGUAUGAGGAUCUGGGUCUUCCAGUGUUUGAGGAGGUAGCACCUGGCACAGGUAUGAGUAUCUGGGUCUUCUCAUGUCUGAGGAGGUAGCACCUGGCACAGGUAUGAGAAUCUGGGUCUUCCAGUGUUUGAGGAGGCAGCACCUGGCACAGGUAUGAGGAUCUGGGUCUUCCUGUGUCGGAAGAGGUAGCAUCUGGCACAGGUAUGAGGAUCUGGGUCUUCCAGUGUCUGAGGAGGUAGCAUUUGGCACAGGUAUGAGAAUCUGGAUCUUCUAGUGUCUGAGGAGGUGGGAUCUGGUAUUAAGUAUGAGAAUCUGGUUCUGUCAGUGACCGAGGAGGUAGGAUCUGGCGUAAGCAUGAGGAUCUGGGUCUGUCAAUGUCUGAGGAGGUAGGAUCUGGUACAGGUAUGAGGAUCUGGGUCUGCCACGUCUGGAGGUAAGAUCUGGCAUGAGUAUGAGGAUUUGGUUCUGUUCAUGUCUGAGGAGGUAGGAUCUUGUGCAGGUAUAAGGAUCUGGGUCUUUCAAUGUCUGAGAAGGUAGGAUCUGGUACAGGUGUGAGGGUCUGGGUCUGUUCAUGUCUGAGGAGGUAGGUUCUGGCACUGGUAAGAGGAUCUGGGUCUGUCAGUUUCUGAGGAGGUAGGAUCUGGCCCUGGUAAGAAGAUCUGGGUCUGUCAAUUUCGGAGGAGGUGGGAACUGGCACAGUUAUGAGGAUCUGGGUCUGUCAAUAUCUGAGGACGUAGGAUCUGGUACAGGUAUAAGGAUCUGGGUCUGUCAGGGUAUGAGGAGGUAAGAUCUGGUACAGUAUUGAGGAUUUGGGACUGUCCAUGUCUGAGGAGGGUAGGAUCUGAUGCACAUAUAGGAUCUGGGUCGGUCAGUGUCUAAGGAGGUAGGAUCUGGCACAAGUAUAAGGAUCUGGAUCUGUCAAUGCCUGAGGAGGUGGGAUCUGGUGCAGGUAUAAGGAUCUGGGUCGGUCAAUAUCUGAGGAGGUGUGAUCUGGCCCUGAUAUGAAGAUCUGUGUCUUCCAGUGUCCUAGGAGGUAGGAUCUGGCCCCUGUAUGAGGAUCUGGGUCUGUCAAUAUCUGAAGAGGUAGGAAUCCGGUACAGGUAUGGGAUCUGCAUCUGUCAAUGUCUGAGGAGUUAGGAAUCGUACAAGUAUGAGGAUCUGGGUCUUUCCAUAUCUGAGGAGGCAGGAUCUGGAUGUCUCCAUGUCUGAGGAAGUAGAAUCUGGGUCUGUCCAUGUCUGAGGAGGUAGGAUCUGGCAUGAAUAUGAUGAUCUGGGUCUGGCAAUGUCUGAAGAGGUAGGAAUCCGGUACAGGUAUGAGGAUCUGCAUCUGUCAAUGUCUGGAGGUAGGACCUGGCCCUGGUAUGAGGAUCUGGGUCUGUCACUGUCUGAGGAGGUUGGAAUCAUACAAGUAUGAGGAUCUGGGUCUCUCCAUGCCUGAGGAGGUAGGGUCUGGGUCUGUCCAUGUCUGAGGAAGUAGGAUCUGGCAUGAGUGUGAGGACCUGGGUCUGGCUGUGUCUGCGGAGUUAGGAUCUGGCGCAGGUAUAAGGAUCUGGGUCUUUCAGUGUCUGACAAGGUAGGUUCUGGCCUUGGUAUGAGGAUCUGGGUCUAUCAAUGUCGGAGGAGUAGGAGUCAUAGAAGUAUGAGGAUCUGGGUCUGUCCAUGUCUGAGGAGGUAGGAUUAAGGUCUCUCCAUGUCUGAGGAGGUAGGAUCUGGGUCUGUCUGUGUCUGAGGAGGUAGGAUCUUGCAUGAAUAUGAGGACCUGGGUCUGUCCAUGUCUGCAGAGGUAGGAUCUGGCGCAGGUAUAAGGAUCUGGAUCUUUCCAUGUCUGAGGAAGUAGGAUCUGGUACAGGUAUGAGGAUCUGGGUCUGUCAAUAUGUGAGGAGGGAGGAUCUAGCCCUGGUAUGAGGAUCUAGGUCUGUCCAUGUAUGAGAAGGUAGGAUCUAGCCCUGGUAUGAGGCUUAUGAGGAUUUAGCUGUCAGUAUCUGAGGAGUUAGGAUCUGAGUGCUGGUACAGGUAUGAGGAUCUGGGUCUGUCAGUGUCUGAGGAGGUAGGAUCUGGCCCCUGUAUGAGGCUCUGGGUUGCCCAUGUCUGAGGUAGGUAGGCCCAGGUAGGAUCUGGCCCUGAUAGGAGGAUUAUGAGGAUCUGGAUCUGUCAGUAUCUGAGGAGGUAGGAUCUGGGUGCCGGUAUAAGGAUCUGGAUUUGUCAGUAUCUGAGGAGGUAGGAUCUGGCCCUGGUAUGAGGAUCUGAGUCUGUCAGUGUCUGAGGAGGUAGGAUCUGGUGCUGGUAUGAGGAUCUGAGUCUGUCAGUGUCUGAGGAGGUAGGAUCUGGUACAGGUGUGAGGAUCUGGGUCUCUCUAUGUCUGAGCAGGUAGGAUCUGGUACAAGUUUGAGGAUAUGGGUCUGUCCAUGUCUGAGGAGGUAGGAUCUGGCCCUGGUUUGAGGAUCUGAGUCUUUCAAUAUCAGAGGAGGUAGGAAUCUAGUACAGGUAUGAGGAUCUGGGUCUCUCCAUGUCUGAAGAGGUAGGAAUCUGUUACAGGCAUGAAGAUCUGGGUCUGUCAAUGUGUGAAGAUACAAGAUCUGGCCCUGGUAUGAGGAUCUGUGUCUCUCCAUAUCUGAGGAGGUAGGAUCUGGAUCUGCCUGUGUCUGAGGAGGUAGGAUCUGGCAUGAGUAUGAGGAUCUGAGUCUGUCCAUGUCUGCAGAGGUAGGAUCUGGUGCAGGUAUGAGGAUCUGGGUCUCUCCAUGUCUGAGGAAGUAGGAUCAGGUACAGGUAUGAGGAUCUGGGUCUGUCAGUAUCUGAGGAGGUAGGAUCCGGGUGCAGGUAUAAGGAUCUGGAUCUAUCAGUGUCUUAGGAGGUAAGAUGUGGCCCUGAUAUGAGGAUCUGAGUCUGUCCAUGUCUGAGGAGGUAGGAUCUGGUAGAGGUGUGAAGAUCUGAGUCUCUCCAUGUCUCAGGAAGUAGGAUCUGGUACAGGUGUGAGGAUCUGGGUGUGUUUAUGUCUGAGGAGGUAGGAUUUGGUGCAUGUAUUAGGAUCUGGGUCUGUCCAUGUCUGAGGAGGUAGGGUCUGGCACAGAUAUAAGGAUCUAGGUCUUUUAAUGUCUGAGAAGGUAGGAUCUGUCCCUCGUUUGAGGAUCUGGGUCUCUCAAUAUCUGAGGAGGUAGGAAUCUGGUACAGGUAUGAUGAUCUGGGUCUCUCAAGUCUGAGGAGGUAGGACCUUGCCCUGGUAUACAGAUGUGAGUCUCUUCAUUUCUGAGGAGGUAGGAAUCCGUUACAGGCAUGAGGAUCUGGGUCUGUCAAUGUCUGAGGAGGUAGGACCUGGCCCUGGUAUGCAGAACUGGGUCUCUUCAUGUCUGCAGAGGUAGGAUCUGGGUCUGUCCAUGUCUGCGGAGGUAGGAUCUGGCAUAACUGUAUCUGGCACAGAUAUAAGGAUCUGGGUCUUUCAGUAUCUGACAAGGUAGGAUCUGGCCUUGGUAUGAGGAUCUGAGUCUGUCAAUAUCUGAGGAGGUACGAAUCUAGUACAGGUAUGAGGAUCUGGGUCCGAGGGCAUAGGAUACACUGGUACAAGUGUGAGGGUCUGGGUCUGUCUAUGUCUCAGGAGGUAGGAAUCUGGUACAGGUUGGAGGAUCUGGUUCUCUCAGUGUCUGAGGAGGUAGGAUCUGGCCCUGGUAUGAGGCUUAUGAGGAUUUGGGUCUGUCAGUAUCUCAGGAGGUAGGAUCUGGCUGCGGGUACAGGUAUGAGGAUCUGGGUCUGUCAGGGUCUGAGGAAGUAGGAUGAGGCUCUGGGUUGUCCAUGUCUGGGAAGGUAGGAUCUGGCCCUGAUAGGAGGAUUAUGAGGAUCUGGACUGUCAGUAUCUGAGGAGGCAGGAUCUGGGUGCGGGUAUAAGGAUCUGGAUCUGUCAGUAUCUGAGGAGGUAGGAUCUGGCCUUGGUUUGAGGAUCUGGGUCUUUCAAUAUCUGAGGAGGUAGGAAUCUGAUACAAGUAUGAAGAUCUGGGUCUCUCCAUGUCUGGAGGUAGGAUCUGGUACAAGUGUGAGGAUCUGGUUCUGUUUGUAUCUGAGGAGGUAGGAUCUGGUACAGGUAUGAGGAUCUGGGUCUGUCAGUGCGGAGCAGGUAGGAUCUGGUAUAAGUGUGAGGAUCUGGGUCUGUCCAUGUCUGAGGAGUUAGUAUCUGGAGUAGGCAUAAGGAUCUGGGUCUUUUAAUGUCUGAGAAGGUAGGAUCUGGCCCUGGUAUGAGGAUCUGAGUCUUUCAAUAUCUGAAGAGCUAGGAAUCUAGUACAGGUAUGAGGAUCUGGGUCUCUCCAUGUCUGAGGAGGGCGGAAUCUGUUACAGGCCUGAGGAUCUGGGUCUGUCAAUGUGUGAAGAGGUACGACCGGGCCUGGUAUGAUGAUCUGUGUCUCCUCAUGUCUGAGGAGGUAGGAUCUGGAUCUGCCUGUGUCUGAGGAGGUAGGAUCUGGCAUGAGUAAUGAGGAUCUGGGUCUGUCCAUGUCUGCGGAGGUGGGAUCUGGAGCAGGUAUAUAAGGAUCUGGGUCUUUAAUGUCUGAGAAGGUAGGAUCUGGCCCUGGUAUGAGGAUCUGGGUCUGUCAAUAUCUGAGGAGGUAGGAAUUUGGCCCUCAUAUGAGGACAUGGGUCUCUCCAUUUCUGAGGGGGUUGAAUCUGGUACAGGUAUGAGGAUCUGCGUCUGUCAGUGUCUGAGGAGGUAGGAUCUGGUCCUGGUAUAGGUAUCUGGGUCUGUCCUUGUCUGAGAAGGUAGGAUCCGACCCAUUAGGAUUAUGAGGAUCUGGGUCUGUCAGUAUCUGAGGAGGUAGGAUCUGGGUGCAGGUAUAAGGAUCUGGUACUGUCAGUAUCUGAGAGGUAGGAUCUGGGUGCAGGUAUAAGGAUCUGGAUCUGUCAGUGUCUGAGGAGGUAGGAUCUGGCCCAGGUAUGAGGAUCUGAGUCUGUCCACGUCUGAGGAGGUAGGAUCUGGUACUGGUGUGAAGAUCUGGGCCUCUCCAUGUCUCAGGAAGUAGGAUCUGGUACAGGUAUUGGGAUCUGGGUCUGUCUAAGUCUGAGGAGUUAGGAAUCUGGUACAGAUAUAAGGAUCUGGGUGUGUUCGUGUCUGAGGAGGUAGGAUUUGGUGCAUGUAUUAGGAUCUGGGUCUGUCCAUGUCUGAGGAGGUCGGAUCUGGCACGGAUAUCAGGAUCUAGUUCUUUUAAUGUCUGAGAAGGUAGGAUCUGGCCCUUGUUUGAGGAUCUGGGUCUUUCAAUAUCUGAGGAGGUAGGAAUCUGGUACAGGUAUGAGGAUCUGGGUCUGUCAAUGUCUGAGGAGGUAGGACCUGGCUGUGGUAUACGGAUCUGGGUCUCUUCAUGUCUGAGGAGGUAGGAAACUGUUACAGGCAUGAGGAUCUGGGUCUCUCAGUGUCUGAGGAGGUAGGACCUGGCCCUAGUAUGCGGAUCUGGGUCUCUUCAUGUUUGAAAAGGUAGGAUCUGGGUCUGUCUAUGUCUGUGGAAGUAGGAUCUGGUGCAGAUAUAAGGAUCUGGGUCUUUCAAUGUCUCAGAAGGUAGGAUCUGGCCUUGGUAUGAGGAUCUGGGUCUGUCAGUAUCUGAGUAGGUACAAAUCUAGUACAGGUAUGAGGAUCUGGGUCUCUCCAUCUCUGAGGAAGUAGGAUCUGGUACAGGUAUGCGGAUCUGGGUCUGUCUGUGUUUGAGGAGGUAGGAUCUGGUACAGGUGUGAAGAUCUGGGUCUGUCUGUAUCUGAGGAGGCAGGAUCUGGCCCUGGUAUGAGGAUCUGGGUCUGUCCAUGUCUGAGAAGGUAGGAUCUGGCCCUGGUAUGAGGCUUAUGAGGAUUUGGGGCUGUCAGUAUCUGAGGAGGCAGGAUCUGGGUGCGGAUACAGGUAUGAGGAUCUGGGUCUGUCAUUGUCUAAGGAGGUAGGAUCUGGCCCAGUAUGAGGAUCAGGGUCUGUCCAUGUCUGAGAAGGUAGGAUCUGACUGUGAUAUGAGGAUUACGAACAUCUGGGUCUCUCAGUAUCUGAUGAGGUAGUAUCUGGGUGCCAGUACAAGGAUCUGGCAGUCAGUAUCUGAGGAGGUAGGAUCUGGCCCUGGUAUGAGGAUCUGAGUCUGUAAAUGUCUGAGGAGGUGCGAUCUGGUACAGGUGUGAGGAUCUGCGUCUGUUCAUGUCUGAGGAGGUAGGAUUUGGUACACAUAUUAGGUUCUUGGUCUGCCCAUGUCUGAGGAGGUAGGACCUGGCCCUGGUAUGAGGGUCUGGGUCUCUUCAUGUCUGUGGAUGUAGGAUCUGGCAUGCGUAUGAGGGUCUGGCUCUGUCCGUGUCUGGGGAAGUAGGAUUUGGCGCAGAUAUAAGCAUCUGGGUCUUUUAAUGUCUACCAAGGUAGGCUCUGGCCUUGGUAUGAGGAUCUGGGUCUGUCAAUAUCUGAGGAGGUAUGAAUCUAGUACAGGUAUGAGGAUCUGGGUCUCUCCAUGUCUGAAAAGGUUGGCUGUGGUACAGGUAUGAGGAUCUGGGUCUGUCAGUGUCUGAGGAGGUAGGAUUUGGCCCUGUUAUGAGGAUCUGGGUCUAUCCAUGUCUGAAAUGGUAGGAUCUGGCCCAUUAGGAUUUUGAGGAUCUGGGUCUGUCAGUAUCUGAAGAGGUAGUAUCUGGGUGUGGGUAUAAGGAUCUGUAUCUGUCAGUAUCUGAGGAGGUAGGAUCUGGCUGUGGUAUGAGGAUCUGAGUCUGUCAAUUUCUGAGGAGGUAGGAUCUGGUACAGGUAUGAUGAUCUGGGUCUGUCUAUGUCUGAGGAGGUAGUAUCUGGCACAGAUAUAAGGAUCUGGGUCUGUUCAUGUCUCAGGAGGUAGGACGGCGCAAAUUAUAGGGAUCUGGGUCUAUCAGUGUCUGAGAAUGUAGGAUCUGGCUCUAGUAUGAGGAUCUGGGUCUUUCAAUAUCUGAAGAGGUAGGAAUUUGGUACAGGUAUGAAGAUCUGGGUCUCUUCAUGACUGAGGAGGUAGGAGUCUGUUACAGGCAUGAGGUUCUGGGUCUGUCAGUGUGUGAGGAGGUAAGAUCUCUCCCUGGUAUGACGAUCUGGGCCUGUCAGUGUUUGAGGAGGUAGGAAUCUGGUACACGUAUGAGGAUUUGCAUCUGUCAAUGUCUGAGGAGAUAGGACCUGGCCCUGAUAUGAGGAUCUCGGUCUCUCCAUGUCUGAAGAGGUAGGAUCUGGGUGUGCCCGUGUCUGAGGAGGUAGGAUCUGGCAGGAGUAUGAGGAUCUGGGUCUGUCCAUGUCUGCAGUGGUAGGAUCCGGAGCAGGUAUAAGGAUCUGGAUCUUUCAAUGUCUGAGAAGGUAGGAUCUGGCCCUGGUAUGAGGAUCUGGGUCUUUCGGUAUCUGAGGAGGUAGGAAUCUGGUGCUAGUAUGAGGAUCUGGGUCUCUCCAUGUCUGAGGAGGUUGGAUCUGGUACAGGUAUGAGGAUCUGGGUCUGUCAGUGUUUGAGGAGGUAGGAUCUGGCCUUGGUAUGAGGAUCUGGGUCUGUUCAUGUCUGAGAAGGUAGGAUCUGGCCCAUUAAGAUUAUGGGGAUCUGGGUCUGUCAGUAUCUGAGGAGGUAGGAUCUGGCUCUGGUAUGAUGAUCUGAGUCUGUCAGCGUCUUAGGAGGUAGGCUCUGGUACAGGUGUUAGGAUCUGGGUCUCUCCAUGUAUGAGUAAGUAGGAACUGGUAGAGGUGUGAGGAUCUGGGUCUGUCCAUGUCUGAGGAGGUAGGAUCUGGUUCAGAUAUAAGGAUCUAGGUCUUUCAAUGUCUGAGAAGAUAGAAUCUGGCCCUGGUUUGAGGAUCUGGGUCUUUCAAUAUCUGAGGAGGUACAAAUCUAGUACAGGUAUGUGGAUCUGAGUCUCUUCAUGUUUGAAGAGGUAGGAAUCUGUUACAGGCAUGAGGAUCUGGGUCUGUCAAUGUCUGAAGAGGUAAGACCUGGCCCUGGUAUGCGGAUCUGCAUCUCUCCAUGUCUGAGGAGGUAGGGUCUGGGUCUGUCCAUGUCUGCGGAGGUAGGAUCUGGCAGGAGUAUGAGGAUUUGGCUCUGUUCAUGUCUGCAGAGGUAGGAUCUGGCGCACAUAUAAGGAUCUGGGUCUUUCAGUGUUUGAGAAGGUAGGAUCUGGCCUUGGUAUGAGGAUCUGGGUCUGUCAGUAUCUGAGGAGGUAUGAAUCUAGUACAUGUGUGAGGAUCUGGGUCUGUCUAUGUCUGAGGAGGUAGGAAUCUGGUACAGGUAUGAGGAUCUGGGUCUGUCAGUGUCUGAGCAGGUAAGAUCUGGCCCUGGUGUGAGGCUUAUG